UGCCUGCAUAAAGAACCAAAUCCUCAUGGAACACAAUAUUAAAAAUAAUAAUAAUAAUAAUAAAGAUUGAAAAUGAAAGAAUUAACUCAUCUAAGCAAUGAUACACACUCCAGAAAACAAUGUUCAGGAUUUUCCAUAUAAGAAUAUCCUUUGUGAAUAAAGUUUCAAGAUACCAACAUUAUCCAGACACACUAAGUAUAUGAUGACGAACCAUUAGUACCGCCCAGCAUUAAAUUGAAUUGAAUUAGUCGAAUUAUUGCAAACAAAAAGCAAGAUGGCCAAACUACAGGAUCCAUCUAUGAUUCAAAUCACAACAAAAAAAAAAUCCUUCAAAUUGUCUAUACCUGCUCGUACUUUUAAGUACUUAAUGGCAAAUAGAACACUAAACUCUCUAUAUCUUCAAUAUUUAGAGGACAUGUUCCCUAGCAUAAAAACUAUACACAACUUAGUAGCUAAAAUAGCUGUAGCACAUACAAAAAGGUCAAUUAAGUUUGAAACCAGAAUAUUCGAAGAAUUAUAUUAAAGGAAACGACACACUAUCUCAACAAAAGACGAAGUCACACUCAACAACAUUCCAGUCCUCAAAAGGAGAGGCUCUAGAAACUUUAUCAAUAACAGUAGAAACUGAUGCCGGUAAAGCAAAAUACAUAAUUCUCUUUCGAGGUACCUCGAAAUCUUCUCCUUUAAUCUUUGCAACUAAGAAUUAAGCAAUUUAGAUUCACUUGUCAAGAAGUAUAAGAGAUCGCUUGCUAAAUUGUCAGUUCAACUACUCCAUUAUUGACCACUAGAUAAGGCUUACUCCACUCAAAGUUUCAACAGCCAAAUGGAAAUAAGAUAAUCAUCAAGUGUCGAAAGUUCCAGCUAACGAACUCGUAACUAAUAAUAAUAAUAACCUUUGAAGCAAAUUACUUAAAUUUUCUUAAUGAAGUUUUCUACAUGAGAAGAAAGAUACAAACAAAAAUGAUCAAAGAGAAAAGAAAAAGAUACGGUGAUAGUAACAAUUAACAAAGAUAUAGAUUAUCCAAUUUUCUCGGUAUCCAAUCAUCCCAUCACAGCAAGAACAACAAUAAAAACAGUAAUAAUAAUAUCAAAAACAUAUUAAACAAAAAUUACGGAAAUAAGUAUUUAAAUAUCAAAUUACCUGUGAUUUAGCAGAGAUUUAUGUCAUGGAAAAUUGCAUAUAAUAUCCUCAUGGAACUCAAUAUUAAAAAUAAUAAUAAUAAAGAUUGAAAAUGAAAGAAUUAACUCAUCUAAGCAAUGAUACACACUCCAGAAAACAAUGUUCAGGAUUUUCCAUAUAAGAAUAUCCUUUGUGAAUAAAGUUUCAAGAUACCAACAUUAUCCAGACACACUAAGUAUAUGAUGACGAACCAUUAGUACCGCCCAGCAUUAAAUUGAAUUGAAUUAGUCGAAUUAUUGCAAACAAAAAGCAAGAUGGCCAAACUACAGGAUCCAUCUAUGAUUCAAAUCACAACAAAAAAAAAAUCCUUCAAAUUGUCUAUACCUGCUCGUACUUUUAAGUACUUAAUGGCAAAUAGAACACUAAACUCUCUAUAUCUUCAAUAUUUAGAGGACAUGUUCCCUAGCAUAAAAACUAUACACAACUUAGUAGCUAAAAUAGCUGUAGCACAUACAAAAAGGUCAAUUAAGUUUGAAACCAGAAUAUUCGAAGAAUUAUAUUAAAGGAAACGACACACUAUCUCAACAAAAGACGAAGUCACACUCAACAACAUUCCAGUCCUCAAAAGGAGAGGCUCUAGAAACUUUAUCAAUAACAGUAGAAACUGAUGCCGGUAAAGCAAAAUACAUAAUUCUCUUUCGAGGUACCUCGAAAUCUUCUCCUUUAAUCUUUGCAACUAAGAAUUAAGCAAUUUAGAUUCACUUGUCAAGAAGUAUAAGAGAUCGCUUGCUAAAUUGUCAGUUCAACUACUCCAUUAUUGACCACUAGAUAAGGCUUACUCCACUCAAAGUUUCAACAGCCAAAUGGAAAUAAGAUAAUCAUCAAGUGUCGAAAGUUCCAGCUAACGAACUCGUAACUAAUAAUAAUAAUAACCUUUGAAGCAAAUUACUUAAAUUUUCUUAAUGAAGUUUUCUACAUGAGAAGAAAGAUACAAACAAAAAUGAUCAAAGAGAAAAGAAAAAGAUACGGUGAUAGUAACAAUUAACAAAGAUAUAGAUUAUCCAAUUUUCUCGGUAUCCAAUCAUCCCAUCACAGCAAGAACAACAAUAAAAACAGUAAUAAUAAUAUCAAAAACAUAUUAAACAAAAAUUACGGAAAUAAGU
rnacentral:lncRNA from 1 species